GAGUUUGAUCCUGGCUCAGAUUGAACGCUGGCGGCAUGCCUUACACAUGCAAGUCGAACGGCAGCACGGGAGCAAUCCUGGUGGCGAGUGGCGAACGGGUGAGUAAUAUAUCGGAACGUGCCCAGUCGUGGGGGAUAACGUAGCGAAAGCUACGCUAAUACCGCAUACGAUCUACGGAUGAAAGCGGGGGACUCGCAAGAGCCUCGCGCGAUUGGAGCGGCCGAUAUCAGAUUAGGUUGUUGGUGAGGUAAAAGCUCACCAAGCCUGCGAUCUGUAGCUGGUCUGAGAGGACGACCAGCCACACUGGAACUGAGACACGGUCCAGACUCCUACGGGAG
rnacentral:rRNA from 1 species